UGUUCAGACCGUGUCUUGUCGUUCACUCCAACCCAGACUUUCCCAGAAUUUUUUUUGUGUGUGUAACUUCCUGUAAAGGAACAACCCACAGGAUUCAAUAUAACAGUCACUGCUGUAACCUGACCUCAAAGGCAGACUCUCCAACAGCAGAAACACUCUAUCCAGGGACAUGUUUUGGAUUUUGGCCCUCGUUCUACCGUUGGUGAAUGCUGGAUUAUACCGGUAUAAUGGCACGCUGGACUAUGAGUGGGAGCUCUUUAAGAAAACUUACCUGAAGCAAUACAACAGCCAGACAGAUGAAGUUUUUCGACGUCUCGUCUGGGAGAAAAAUCUGAACUUGAUCAAAACCCAUAAUAUGGAGUAUGAACAGGGGCUUCACACUUAUGAUCUGGGCAUGAACCAUCUAGGAGAUAUGGUGAGUUAUCAAUAGCUUCAAACCAAUGAU